AUUGAACGCUAGCGGGAUGCUUUACACAUGCAAGUCGAACGGCAGCGCGGACUUCGGUAUGGCGGCGAGUGGCGAACGGGUGAGUAAUGUAUCGGAACGUGCCCAGUAGCGGGGGAUAACUACGCGAAAGCGUAGCUAAUACCGCAUACGCCCUACGGGGGAAAGCAGGGGAUCGUAAGACCUUGCACUAUUGGAGCGGCCGAUAUCGGAUUAGCUAGUUGGUGAGGUAACGGCUCACCAAGGCGACGAUCCGUAGCUGGUUUGAGAGGACGACCAGCCACACUGGGACUGAGACACGGCCCAGACUCCUACGGGAGGCAGCAGUGGGGAAUUUUGGACAAUGGGGGCAACCCUGAUCCAGCCAUCCCGCGUGUGCGAUGAAGGCCUUCGGGUUGUAAAGCACUUUUGGCAGGAAAGAAACGUCGCGGGCUAAUACCCCGUGGAACUGACGGUACCUGCAGAAUAAGCACCGGCUAACUACGUG
rnacentral:rRNA from 1 species